rnacentral:tRNA from 1 species
GCGUUCUUAGCUCAGAUGGUAGAGCAUCACCUUGACGUGGUGAAGGUCAAUGGUUCAAUUCCAUUAGAACGCA